CCUACGGGUGGCAGCAGUGAGGAAUAUUGGUCAAUGGACGAGAGUCUGAACCAGCCAAGUAGCGUGAAGGAUGACUGCCCUAUGGGUUGUAAACUUCUUUUAUAUGGGAAUAAAAUGUUCCACGUGUGGGAUUUUGUAUGUACCAUAUGAAUAAGGAUCGGCUAAUUCCGUGCCAGCAGCCGCGGUAAUACGGAGGGUCCGAGCGUUAUCCGGAUUUAUUGGGUUUAAAGGGAGCGUAGGUGGAUUGUUAAGUCAGUUGUGAAAGUUUGCGGCACAACCGUAAAAUUGCAGUUGAAACUGGCAGGCUUGAGUACAGUAGAGGUAGGCGGAAUUCGUGGUGUAGCGGUGAAAUGCUUAGAUAUCACGAAGAACUCCGAUUGCGAAGGCAGCUCACUGGACUGCAACUGACACUGAGGCUCGAAAGUGUGGGUAUCAAACAGGAUUAGAUACCCCAGUAGUC
rnacentral:rRNA from 1 species